GACGAACCGUGCGAACGUUGUUCGGAUUCACUGGGCUUAAAGGGCGCGUAGGCGGGCGGUCAAGUCGGGGGUGAAAUCUUUCAGCUUAACUGGAAAAGUGCCUCCGAUACUGAUCGCCUCGAGGGAGGUAGGGGCAUGUGGAACUUCCGGUGGAGCGGUGAAAUGCGUAGAUAUCGGAAGGAACGUCGGUGGCGAAAGCGACGUGCUGGACCUCUUCUGACGCUGAGGCGCGAAAGCUAGGGGAGCAAACAGG
rnacentral:rRNA from 1 species